rnacentral:rRNA from 1 species
AGUGAACGCUGGCGGUAGGCCUAACACAUGCAAGUCGAACGGCAGCACAGUAAGAGCUUGCUCUUACGGGUGGCGAGUGGCGGACGGGUGAGGAAUACAUCGGAAUCUACUUUUUCGUGGGGGAUAACGUAGGGAAACUUACGCUAAUACCGCAUACGACCUACGGGUGAAAGCAGGGGAUCUUCGGACCUUGCGCGAUUGAAUGAGCCGAUGUCGGAUUAGCUAGUUGGCGGGGUAAAGGCCCACCAAGGCGACGAUCCGUAGCUGGUCUGAGAGGAUGAUCAGCCACACUGGAGCUUAGACACGGUCCAUACUCCUACGGGAGGCAGCAGUGGGGAAUAUUGGACAAUGGGCGCAAGCCUGAUCCAGCCAUACCGCGUGGGUGAAGAAGGCCUUCGGGUUGUAAAGCCCUUUUGUUGGGAAAGAAAAGCAGCAGGUUAAUACCCCGCUGUUCUGACGGUACCCAAAGAAUAAGCACCGGCUAACUUCGUG